rnacentral:rRNA from 1 species
UUAAGCGACUAAGCGUACACGGUGGAUGCCUAGGCAGUCAGAGGCGAUGAAGGGCGUGCUAAUCUGCGAAAAGCGUCGGUAAGGUGAUAUGAACCGUUAUAACCGACGAUACCCGAAUGGGGAAACCCAGUGCAAUUCGUUGCACUAUUGCAUGGUGAAUACAUAGCCAUGCAAGGCGAACCGGGGGAACUGAAACAUCUAAGUACCCCGAGGAAAAGAAAUCAACCGAGAUUCCCCCAGUAGCGGCGAGCGAACGGGGAGGAGCCCAGAACCUGAAUCAGCAUAUGUGUUAGUGGAAGCGUCUGGAAAGUCGCACGGUACAGGGUGAUAGUCCCGUACACAAAAAUGCAUAUGUUGUGAGUUCGAUGAGUAGGGCGGGACACGUGACAUCCUGUCUGAAUAUGGGGGGACCAUCCUCCAAGGCUAAAUACUCCUGACUGACCGAUAGUGAACCAGUACCGUGAGGGAAAGGCGAAAAGAACCCCGGCGAGGGGAGUGAAAUAGAACCUGAAACCGUGUACGUACAAGCAGUGGGAGCACCUUCGUGGUGUGACUGCGUACCUUUUGUAUAAUGGGUCAGCGACUUAUAUUUUGUAGCAAGGUUAACCGAAUAGGGGAGCCGUAGGGAAACCGAGUCUUAACUGGGCGAAUAGUUGCAAGGUAUAGACCCGAAACCCGGUGAUCUAGCCAUGGGCAGGUUGAAGGUUGGGUAACACUAACUGGAGGACCGAACCGACUAAUGUUGAAAAAUUAGCGGAUGACUUGUGGCUGGGGGUGAAAGGCCAAUCAAACCGGGAGAUAGCUGGUUCUCCCCGAAAGCUAUUUAGGUAGCGCCUCGUGAACUCAUCUUCGGGGGUAGAGCACUGUUUCGGCUAGGGGGUCAUCCCGACUUACCAAACCGAUGCAAACUCCGAAUACCGAAGAAUGUUAUCACGGGAGACACACGGCGGGUGCUAACGUCCGUCGUGAAGAGGGAAACAACCCAGACCGCCAGCUAAGGUCCCAAAGUCAUGGUUAAGUGGGAAACGAUGUGGGAAGGCAUAGACAGCCAGGAUGUUGGCUUAGAAGCAGCCAUCAUUUAAAGAAAGCGUAAUAGCUCACUGGUCGAGUCGGCCUGCGCGGAAGAUGUAACGGGGCUAAACCAUGCACCGAAGCUGCGGCAGCGACACUUAGGUGUUGUUGGGUAGGGGAGCGUUCUGUAAGCCGUUGAAGGUGACCUGUGAGGGUUGCUGGAGGUAUCAGAAGUGCGAAUGCUGACAUAAGUAACGAUAAUGCGGGUGAAAAACCCGCACGCCGGAAGACCAAGGGUUCCUGUCCAACGUUAAUCGGGGCAGGGUGAGUCGACCCCUAAGGCGAGGCUGAAAAGCGUAGUCGAUGGGAAACAGGUUAAUAUUCCUGUACUUGGUGUUACUGCGAAGGGGGGACGGAGAAGGCUAGGCUAGCCGGGCGACGGUUGUCCCGGUUUAAGCAUGUAGGCGGAGUGACUUGGUAAAUCCGGUUGCUUAUCAACGCUGAGGUGUGAUGACGAGUCACUACGGUGAUGAAGUAGUUGAUGCCAAGCUUCCAGGAAAAGCCUCUAAGCAUCAGGUAACAUUAAAUCGUACCCCAAACCGACACAGGUGGUCAGGUAGAGAAUACUCAGGCGCUUGAGAGAACUCGGGUGAAGGAACUAGGCAAAAUGGUGCCGUAACUUCGGGAGAAGGCACGCUGGCAUUAGGUAAAGGGACUUGCUCCCGGAGCUGAAGCCAGUCGCAGAUACCAGCUGGCUGCAACUGUUUAAUAAAAACACAGCACUGUGCAAACACGAAAGUGGACGUAUACGGUGUGACGCCUGCCCGGUGCUGGAAGGUUAAUUGAUGGGGUCAGCCGCAAGGCGAAGCUCUUGAUCGAAGCCCCAGUAAACGGCGGCCGUAACUAUAACGGGCCUAAGGUAGCGAAAUUCCUUGUCGGGUAAGUUCCGACCUGCACGAAUGGCGUAAUGAUGGCCAGGCUGUCUCCACCCGAGACUCAGUGAAAUUGAACUCGCUGUGAAGAUGCAGUGUACCCGCGGCAAGACGGAAAGACCCCGUGAACCUUUACUAUAGCUUGACACUGAACAUUGAGCCUUGAUGUGUAGGAUAGGUGGGAGGCAUUGAAGUGUGGACGCCAGUCUGCAUGGAGCCAACCUUGAAAUACCACCCUUUAAUGUUUGAUGUUCUAACUCGGCCCCAUAAUCUGGGGUGAGGACAGUGUCUGGUGGGUAGUUUGACUGGGGCGGUCUCCUCCCAAAGAGUAACGGAGGAGCACGAAGGUUAGCUAAUCACGGUCGGACAUCGUGAGGUUAGUGCAAAGGCAUAAGCUAGCUUGACUGCGAGAGUGACGGCUCGAGCAGGUACGAAAGUAGGUCUUAGUGAUCCGGUGGUUCUGAAUGGAAGGGCCAUCGCUCAACGGAUAAAAGGUACUCCGGGGAUAACAGGCUGAUACCGCCCAAGAGUUCAUAUCGACGGCGGUGUUUGGCACCUCGAUGUCGGCUCAUCACAUCCUGGGGCUGAAGUAGGUCCCAAGGGUAUGGCUGUUCGCCAUUUAAAGUGGUACGCGAGCUGGGUUUAGAACGUCGUGAGACAGUUCGGUCCCUAUCUGCCGUGGGCGUUGGAAGAUUGAGAGGGGCUGCUCCUAGUACGAGAGGACCGGAGUGGACGAAUCACUGGUGUUCGGGUUGUCAUGCCAAUGGAUUGCCCGGUAGCUAAAUUCGGAAGAGAUAACCGCUGAAAGCAUCUAAGCGGGAAACUUGCCUCGAGAUGAGUCUUCCCUGGGGCUUUAAGCCCCCUGAAGGAACGUUAAAGACUAUGACGUUGAUAGGCUGGGUGUGUAAGUGCAGCGAUGCAUUGAGCUAACCAGUACUAAUGAUCCGUGAGGCUUAACCUU